rnacentral:piRNA from 1 species
UGUUCUCUCUCACCUGCCUCAAUACCUUC